UAAACUUGACAAAAUCUUGACGAAAAUAUGCGCUUCAUGCUUCCGUCACCAACGCUGACACACGCUGAGCUAGCAUGUCGGUGAACACACAGCAGACAGAGCUUACCGAAAAACAUGUCGCAAAAGCAUGCAAAGCAGGCAACUAUAAUCUACGUUUUUUAAACGCGCAAAAUUUUGUUUUUGAUGUAAUAUAGUGUAAUUUACUCGCAGCACAACUUUCCUGCCAGUAGCAGCUACUACUGCUACUCCUAUUACAUAUGGCGAAGCGGAUACCUUGUACAUGGCAUGCCCUGGCACAGCAAAAAUCCAGUCAUCACCAAAUUAAAGGUCAGGCUUGGCUGUCGGAAGGAAAAUACUCCCCCUGGCUGUAUAAGACCGACAUUGUCUUUAAACUCAUCACUCCUUUGUGGCAGCCAGAGGUUUCAGAAGACCCAUCACCAGGAAGUAAUCAUAGGCAGACCUUUAGCCAUGACAGGGGCACCUUCAUGUUAAAGAAAGAGUGGUGGCAUCCAGUCCUCCAGCUGAGGAAGCAGGCUGGGACCCACAGCCAGUGUUGAUCCUCCCAGUAAAGGCCACUGGUGGGGAUAAUUGAUG